rnacentral:sRNA from 1 species
AUUCUACCCAUGUGGGGAAGGAUGAGAAGCUUCGACUAAGGUUCGAUUCGAGCGCAGCGAGAAAGCGUUGCCAACGGCAACGGCCCGAAGGGCGAAGCGCGCAGCGCUGAGUAAUCCUUCCCCCACCACCA